ACGGAGGCCGCUAUCGGACGAGCGAGCAAGAUGGUCGCCGGAGAGGACGGAGGAGCACCUCUUCCGCCUCUCCGCGGUCUCUGUCUCCGACGCCGAGGGCUUGGUCCUUCCUCCGCUGCCCUUUCUUCUCUACGAAUCGAUAUGGGGAAGCUUACAUCUCUUCAGGUGCUGGACCUUGUGGACUACUCUGACAUCUUACAAGGAUGGCUCUGUUUCACUGUAAGGAUCCCAGAAGGCAUUGAUUCCUUGGGACAGAGUCUCCUGACCUUUCAAUGAGCAAUCCUUCAGGUGCUCCUGCAUGUUCAAGAUGAGAUCAUUGAGCCUCAUGAACUUGUCCGUGACAACUUAUCAGGGAGAAUUAUAUAAGGUAGGCAGUCUAAUACCUUCAGUUGCCAAUCAAGACGUUUGUGGAUGGCCAUUGCAGCAGCUUGAUGGUGCAGCCGAGGAGCGUGGAAAUAGAGAUGCAUAAAAUCCUGUGAAGUUCUGGGCUUUGCAUCCCACAAGGAUCUGUGGUGGGCUUCUUUGAUGCAGUAAUGGUUUCUGAUGACAAGAAUUGUCUCUCCGUGCAUUCGCAGUGAGCUGCAGUGAAACAAAAAAGGUCCCUCGGUGAGCAAAGACCACUAGUCAUUAGCGAAGGACGGGAUGCUGUCAAGAACUGGAUGUGGCACACAAAACCGAGUACGGUACAAGUGAUGUGACAGACAAGAGAAGGAAAUCUUGCAACGAGAAAGGUGUGGCACUCAUGGAGAACUCGGAAUGGUGGUUGGUGCCUGUUGUCGUUUGUCCUCUUCUCAGCCCAAAUCUUUGACACCCAAAACUGGACCUUUCUCUUUUCUGAACACCCAAGUCCUGCAGCCACCAGUGCAUCAUUCCCUUGCUUGACCUUUCCAUCACUCCAAUGGAUUCUUGCCGGAUCUAGGCAGAUGAGCACCACAUAACCACAGAUAUUUUGUUCUUGAUGCUUACCUCCAAUUGAAUGUUUUUUUUGGCCUUCAAAAAGUUAUUCAUACUCUUGAAGUAUUUCUCCAAAUCUAUUGGCCCUUCCAACUUAGUUUUUCACUACAAGUAUUCUU